rnacentral:misc_RNA from 1 species
GAAAUGCGAUAAGUAAUGUGAAUUGCAGAAUUCAGUGAAUCAUCGAAUCUUUGAACGCACAUUGCGCCCGCCAGUAUUCUGGCGGGCAUGCCUGUUCGAGCGUCAUUACAACCCUCAGGCCCCCGGGCCCGGCGUUGGGGAUCGGCGGAAGCCCCCUGCGGGCACAACGCCGUCCCCCAAAUACAGUGGCGGUCCCGCCGCAGCUUCCAUUGCGUAGUAGCUAACACCUCGCAACUGGAGAGCGGCGCGGCCACGCCGUAAAACACCCAACUUCUGAAUGUUGACCUCGAAUCAGGUAGGAAUACCCGCUGAACUUAAGC